rnacentral:rRNA from 1 species
GGAUGAACGCUGGCGGCGUGCUUAACACAUGCAAGUCGAACGGUGAAAGAGGGAGCUUGCUUCCUCUGGAUCAGUGGCGAACGGGUGAGUAACACGUGAGUAACCUGCCCUUGACUCUGGGAUAAGCGUUGGAAACGACGUCUAAUACCGGAUACGAGCUUCAGCCGCAUGGCUAGGAGCUGGAAAGAACUUCGGUCAAGGAUGGACUCGCGGCCUAUCAGGUAGUUGGUGAGGUAACGGCCCACCAAGCCUACGACGGGUAGCCGGCCUGAGAGGGUGACCGGCCACACUGGGACUGAGACACGGCCCAGACUCCUACGGGAGGCAGCAGUGGGGAAUAUUGCACAAUGGGCGCAAGCCUGAUGCAGCAACGCCGCGUGAGGGACGACGGCCUUCGGGUUGUAAACCUCUUUUAGUAGGGAAGAAGCGAAAGUGACGGUACCUGCAGAAAAAGCACCGGCUAACUACGUGCCAGCAGCCGCGGUAAUACGUAGGGUGCAAGCGUUAUCCGGAAUUAUUGGGCGUAAAGAGCUCGUAGGCGGUUUGUCGCGUCUGCUGUGAAAACUGGAGGCUCAACCUCCAGCCUGCAGUGGGUACGGGCAAACUAGAGUGCGGUAGGGGAGAUUGGAAUUCCUGGUGUAGCGGUGGAAUGCGCAGAUAUCAGGAGGAACACCGAUGGCGAAGGCAGAUCUCUGGGCCGUAACUGACGCUGAGGAGCGAAAGCGUGGGGAGCGAACAGGAUUAGAUACCCUGGUAGUCCACGCCGU